ACCUGAUUUGUACAGAAAAAGUGUUAUUAAAAGUUGCAGGAUAAGUUAUAAUUUGAAGGGGAAUCUAACCAAAUAUGUCCGUCGAUACCGAAAAAAAGUCGUUCGUUAGUGAUGUAUGUGACAAUGGAAUUCGCAACAAUCAAAAGGAACGCCAGCUCAAUGUUCAUACCGUCAAACGAUUGUACAAAUGCACUGAAUGCGGAAAGAGUUUACACACUCGAAUGAAUCUUAACCGGCAUAUGUACCUUCACACUGGCAAGAGUCCGUUCAAAUGCACUAUAUGCGGAAAAACCUUUGUUUCCAACCCUAGAUUAAGCACACACAUGACUACACAUACGGGUAAUUAUAAGUAUACGUGUGACGUGUGCGGUAAAGGAUUCGAGCGAAGGUCACGCUUGAUAGACCACAAAUACAGUCAUACCGGAGAGCGGCCAUACAAAUGCACUAUAUGCGAGAAAGAUUUUAAAACCAAAGUGAAUUUAGACUUACAUAUGAUGUUUCACACAGGAGAUCUUUCGCAUGAAUGCACUGUAUGUGGUAAAAGUUUUGCCAAUAAACAUCGCCUAAUUGCACACAAAUACACACAUACGGGCGAUUAUAAGUAUACGUGUGACGUGUGCGGCAAAGGAUUUGUGAACAAUUCACGCUUGAUAGACCACAAGUACAGUCAUACUGGAGAGCAGCCUUAUCAUUGCAAUAUAUGCGAAAAAGAUUUUAAAACCAAACCGAAUUUCGACGUACAUAUGCUGAAUCACACAGGAGAUCGUCCGCACAAAUGCACUGUAUGUGGUAAAAGUUUUGCACAUAAAUAUACCCUGACUGCACACAAAUCUACACAUACGGGUAAUUAUAAGCAUAGUUGUGAUGUAUGUGGCAAAGGAUUUAUGCACAGAUGGCGCUUGGAUUACCACAAAUACAGUCAUACCGAAGAGCGGCCUUACAAAUGCACUAUAUGCGAAAAAGGUUUUAAAACCAAACCAAAUUUAGACGUACAUAUGCUGAAUCACAGAGAAGAUCUUCCGUACAAAUGCACUGUAUGUGGUAAAAGUUUUUCCAUGAAACAUCGCCUAAUUGCACACAAAUACACACAUACGGGCGAUUAUAAGUAUACGUGUGACGUGUGCGGUAAAGGAUUCGUGCGACGUUCACGCUUGAUAGACCACAAAUAUAGCCAUACGGAAGAACGGCCUUAUCGUUGCAUUAUAUGCGAAAAAUAUUAUGCCGAUAACAAUAACCUAACCCAACACAUGUUGCUUCACACGGGUGGUCGACAUCAAUGUGAUGUGUGCGGCAAAGAAUACUCCAGGGAAUAUAACUUGAAAUUACAUAAACGCAUUCAUUCAUCUGAUCAGUCGAUUGAUCCGUUACCAAUCGAACCAACAGAUCACGAUAGCGACAUUCUAUCCAAGCAGAAGAACACAAAAAACGAAUCUACAGAACUCGAUAACAUCGACAAGAUCGAUGAACAAACAAACGCCAAUAGCAACAGCGACGCAUUCGUUUUACAACCAAACCUACAUGACCAUGUUUGCAGCAAUUAAAUUGAUCUAGAUGAAAAAGUAUCCUGCCACCUUCAGGAUGUUAUGUCAGAUUUGUAAUACAUACUUUUCUAGCAAAGAUCAUCUCCAUGAGCGUGCCUCAGUUCACGACAGCGUGAUAUGCAUUGAUGGAUCACCUAACCAGGCAUUUGAACGAGCAUAAUGAGAAAAAACGUUCUCCUGUCCUAGUGAUUGCAAAUGUGAUGUGUGUGGCAGUGAAUAAAGAACGAAACCUAAAAAUUUUGGUUUUCCGUAAAAUCUCAAAAAAUCGGUAGAAGAUCGGAAAUUGAUUUUAUCUGUUUCAAAAAGACGUAGAAUUUGUUUUUUAUUAAUAAAAUAAAUUUUGUGACAACACAAAAAUUUUAAAUUAUU